rnacentral:lncRNA from 1 species
CAUUGAUAGACUAACAUUCAAUUUUCAUGUGCUUAAGUUCCUAAUAGAUCUUCUUAUAGUCAUAAGAGGUGUUAUGAGAUAUUAGAGGUGAUAAAAGAGUCGUAAAGCUUGUUUGAGAGUUUUUGAUAGUAUGUAAGACUUGUGAGAAGUCUUAUAAGUGAAGUUGAGAGUGAUGAAAGAGUGAAAUCACUAGUUUAUUCACAAAGAGGGCAUUCUGGGAUUCUAAGGCAACAACACAUUCUUUUUGAUUUUGAGAGUUCUACCUUCUCUUUUCUUGAUUUUUUUUGAUACAUUUCUUCUUUAGACAUGGCUUCAAGUGAGGGUGAGGAUUUGAGAGUGAUUGAGAAGUUUAGAGGUGACAACUUCUACCAUUGGAAGAAGAAAAUGGAGCUUUUGCUGACUUCAUUGGACCUUUGAGACAUUGUUGAUGAAAGUGAAGAGCCUCGUAGUGAUGAUGCUGAUGUCAAGGUGAAGAAGGAGUAUAAAUGACAUGAAAGGAAGGCUCUU